rnacentral:rRNA from 1 species
UCAUGGCUCAGGAUGAACGCUAGCGGCAGGCUUAAUACAUGCAAGGUCGAGGGGCAGCAUGGUGUAGCAAUACACUGAUGGCGACCGGCAAACGGGUGCGGAACACGUACAGAACCUUCCUUCGAGCGGGGAAUAGCCCAGAGAAAUUUGGAUUAAUACCCCAUAGUAUAUUGGAGUGGCAUCACUUUAGUAUUAAAGAUUUAUCACUUGAAGAUGGCUGUGCGGCUGAUUAGGUAGUUGGCGGGGUAACGGCCCACCAAGCCUGCGAUCAGUAACUGGUGUGAGAGCACGACCAGUCACACGGGCACUGAGACACGGGCCCGACUCCUACGGGAGGCAGCAGUAAGGAAUAUUGGUCAAUGGACGAAAGUCUGAACCAGCCAUGCCGCGUGGAGGAUGAAGGUCCUCUGGAUUGUAAACUUCUUUUAUAUGGGACGAAAAAAGGGCUUUCUAGCUCGUCUGACGGUACCAUAUGAAUAAGCACCGGCUAACUCCGUG